GGAACGCCUCCGGUGAACUCCGAUUUGGUAGAAGUUUGUACAUCGGAGAUGUGUGAAUAUGCUCCUGAAGUGAUAGAUGAACCAGAAGUGUUUGAGGAGAAGACCGAAGGGGUAAUUGAACCGCUGGAGUUGGUUGAAGUAAAAUCAAUGGUGACUAUAGUGAAUGAAAACGAAGGUGAAAAUGAUGAAUUUGUGAGUUCGAAUUCGGUUUUUACGCCGUUGCCGGAAGUAGAAACGGAGCUAAUUCAACGGCUAACGACUGAGAAACCGCUAGUUACUUCGAGGUUCAGUCAUCGGAAACCGCUGAUGAGGACGAGUCCUGAAGGGGUGAAAUCACUAAGGGUGGCUAGAGUAAAGAGGCAAGAGACAUUAGAGAGUACAUGGAAGAAGAUAACGGAAGGGCGUCACGUGCCUCUCACGAGGCACCUGAACAAGUUAGACACGUGGCAACAUCAUAACCAGAACCGGAGAAGUGAAUCCCCGAUUCAAAAUAUUAAAAAAGCACUUGAACCAUCACCUAGUCAAG
rnacentral:misc_RNA from 1 species